UGGACCGAUUAUCCAACCUCUGAGUCUUUAUUGUGUCGAACCAGCCCUUGAGAAGAGUUGUUUGAACUUGGGUCGCAUCAGCCCAACAGAAGCCCAUAACACGUACGCAUGAGCAUGGUUGGGUUGGCUGGCGGGAGGUCGAUGCCUGCUGGCGAUCGAAAUGUUUGUCCCAUGAACUAGUGCUCGAUUUUUGGGGUUUCAAAUGGAGAAUUUUUAUGACUUCGAACUUCAUUUUCGAGUGGUUUGUGAGUUAAUGGUAUGUGAAAUGACGAGUCAUCAUCACCGUCGCCAGUUGUUGUUUUUGGUCACGGCGCUGGUGCCCGUUCUUAUUCCGAUUGAACGAUCAGAAAAAACAGGGGUCCUUCCAAAGCAGAGAAAUUGGUAGAGUUUCACAAAGAUAUUGUAUAAAAGACUGCUGGCCAUGAAUGGAGAUGUAAGGGAUGAGACGCUGUUGAAAUUUGAAGUACUUGUAUUGUUUGUACAGUUUGUCCCCUUGACAAAUUGGAAGCUGCUUACAAGAAGAUGAAAUACCUGUGAUCAACGGUGGUGACAGCUUUCAAAGUUGCCAAAAUGCAUCUUCAGACAAAGGGGUUAACCGUUAACCCAAGAUGAAGCUGAAGAUCGUGCCAUUCAGGCUGUUGCUCAUUUGUUUCCAGGUGUCUCUGAGGAAGUUUAAUUUACUGCCUUGGAUUGAUUUCUUUCUUUCUUUCUUUCUUUUUUAACCACUGUCACCUUUAUAGUUUCAUGAGGACUGACAAACUAAUUUAUAUGCAUAUUGUAAUUUCAUUAGAUUUAGCACAGGUGUGGCAUACGAGUCAGCAUUGAUGCUGUUCUUGGGCUUACCUGACUAUUUCUGCCUCAAAAAGUUGCGCUGUAUUUUUAUGUCCAGGCUAUGAAAUUAAUAGAGGAUAGGGCUCUUGCAUAGAGUUUCUUUUUUAAAGAUAUUGCUUCAUUUAAGGUCACAUAUAGUUGGUGUUGUCCUCGGCAUUCAAGAUUUUAUGAGACGUGGUUCACUAAUGAAGUAAAAUCCUGUCGUGUAGUAUCAGAAUUUACGAUGCGUAACUCCAUGGAUUUUGAGCCCCUCAAUAUCCAGAUAUCAUGAUUUUAACUGCUGACUUGAGGAUUCAAAGAAAUUUUGAGAUUAAGAAGCCAUGCAUUUGCAGAUGAUCAUGAGCUUAACUUUUCUGCUUGGAAAGUGGAGAUAUACUAUUCAUGGAACACACGAUACAACAUCACGUCAUACAUAGGACUCAACAAAUUGGUACAGCUACAAGUCUUCACCGGCCAACACUAGUUCACCUUUAUUUAUGUGUCAUGCUAUAUUUUAUUUUUUUCCCCUACCUUUAUUUGCAGAUAAUGUUGGUAGGCACUCUCACUUGACUCGAUUUCUCAUUUCUGUAAAUAUUGAACAGACAAAAAAAAGUUUAAUUAGCUCACAGUUUAUAUUGAUGAUAUAAUACUAGCUAUAUUUUUCAAAAUCCAGAGUAAUUAGCUAACAAUGCAUGCCUUUUGUGUUCCUCGGCAACUCUUUAGUCACUGUCGCUGCUGCUGCUGUCCUCCUUCUUCUUAUGUCCACGCUUCUCCUUCUUCUUACCCUCGCUUUUCUUUUCCUUCUUCUCUUUCUUUUCCUUCUUAUCCUUCUUUUCUUUCUUCUCCUUUUUUUCCUUCUUGUCUUUUAUUUUCUUUUCACUCUUUGCAGGGCAAGCCAUGACGCUGGAUUCACGGUGGUGCUCCUGGUUGCCGUGGGUCUGGCUUUGACAUGGUUGAGUUAGGGAUUUGGCCAUCUGGUGGCCCUUGUCUUGUCCUUGGCUCUUGCUGUGCUCAUCAUGGGUGUGCGUUUGGGCAAGGCUAGCCUGGUGGUGUUCUUGGAGGCUGGUUUCCUCAGCGGGUUUUUGGAUUUGCACCGAUGCCAUGAUGGUUUGAGGCAAAAGGGUAGUUCUGUUGAGUUUUCUCGAGCCUUGCUGGUUAUUGCCUGUUAUUAGAAAUCAACAUGGAAACCUAGAUUUAUAGGAAGUGAGUGAGUGGGAUUCCUUCAAUUAUACAUCAUCCUUUGAAUCUGCUUUUGCAGGAUGGGCUAGUAGCAUCUUUACUGGAGAAGAUUAUAUUGCUUUCUUAUCCGAAUUAUUUAGCAGAGAAUAAAUGCAAAAAAAUUUUUUCCUCUGCCAAUGACGUUCAAAUUGUAAGUUGUUCUUCGUCUUUUCCUCCAUAUUCAAACAUGGCUCCCAGAAAUGUUGAUGGGUAUCAAAUUAUGUGCCGUGAAAAGUGUAAAGUGUGCUGUCUUGAGCCUUUUUCUGAGAAUCUGACUGUAAAUAUAGGUUACAUAUUCUCUUCAGAAAUGUGAAAAGAAUUCCUCCUGUAAGGUGACUGUAA